rnacentral:snRNA from 1 species
GGAUUUGAGGAUGAUCUGGCUGUGGCAUCUGUCAUCUUACAGAUUGCCAGGGUUGAUUUGGCUGGUAGGACCAGCGCAGCAGCUGUCUCCUUCUUCCCUCAUGACUUCCUGGGACUUCAGUUCCUUCCGUUCCACAUCAUGCGUGAUUUUUAAAUACUAAACAUAUUAUUGUAUUUUUAAGGAAGCCUGCCGUAAUACAUUGAUAUCUUUAAUCAAUUUUAAGGUUUUAUCGAAAAAGAAAGUAACUCCUGCCUUGUAGCACUAUCUCAUUGCUAGGUGUUUCCAA